UUCUCGCUACCACCUAAGAAUGAACAAGAUUUGCUGUUAUAGAUCACAAGUAUGAGAUUUAUUUUAGAUUACAAGGAUUUCAUCUGAAAGUAUUUUUUAGAAAGGAGAACUGUGCGGCUGAAGAAACUAUUUAAUUCCUAUGCAAGUUGCCUGCAGCAUUCUGCUUCUGUGAGGAGAACCCUAUGGAAUUUAAAAGCACAGCGCCUGAAGAGCUCUUCCAGAUUAUGAAGAGAGCAAAAUAGCUCCUGUAGUGUUUUUUCCUAGCUUAUUUUGGCUGUUUCUCUCUUUCCGGUUGAAACUGCCUGAAGUGAGACUAAUCAACUAUUCCUCCGGAGAGAAAGGCAGGCUACUGGAAAUAAAAAUAAUAAAUCAUAGCAUUUUACUAUAAAAAACAAUAUACAUCGAGGGAGUGUCUUUUACAAUCUUAUAUUGCUAUCUUCAACAAUAGCAAGCUAAUAAAAUGGGAAGUUAAUUCAAGUAGGAUGUUUCUAGCAAAUUGUCAUGUGAAUACUGCUAUGUCUACAUGCACGUUUUCCACCCGGAAUUGAAAGAAAAAGUUAAAUUUUAAAGAAGGGGCUUAAAUUUUCCUGCUUGUUUCCUGUUUUCUGAAUCUUAAGCAAGAGAGAUUGUUUUUCUUAUACAGAAUCACACUGCAAGAGAUGAUGCAUUUUAUUAAUGACUGACCAUUGCUAUGGUGAAUUCAAGAUAUUAGUUAUAUUAAUUAUCAACUUAUUUAGAUGUAUACCAAAGCCUUGGUUUCAUUCAAGGGCAUGUGUUUUUCAUUCAGAUUUCUCUGAACAUGACUCAGAUGCUUGCCCUGCUGUGCCUACGCGGCAGAGAGAGGACUUCAGACUUUCAGCAAUUCCUGCCUCGUGCUCAGCUCUGCAGAAGCUACUCUCCUGCCCACUCCGUAGUGCAUCACGUGGAGAGCCCACAUGGACGGCUGAGAGCAGGGAUCCUGUAGAGAGUCAAGGACACAAUUAAAUCCCAUCAGCGAGCAUGCAUCUCUUCCCUUUCCCUUGGCACCUUGCUGCACUCAAAGACUUUCGGCAGUGCCAAACACCCUGGCAUUUCUGAGCACAAGGAGCAGCUUUGCUGCAAGGAGGUCAAUUCACUGAGGAGGAGAUGAGGAGGGAGAUCUUGAAGCUUUGCCUGGGCUCCCUCUCCUGAGCAUGGCUCCUUCAGUUGGCCCCAUUGCUGGGUCUAUGUCCUCUUCUGCUGACCUGCCAAGCCAGGUGACGAGAGGGCAUGGCAGUCCUAUCAGUCUAAGAGCAAGGGCCAAGAUUUCACCCCGAAAGUGCAAAAAGGAAACAAAUGAACAAUACUCUAAUCAGAUUCAUCAACACAGGUCAUCCCAUUACCCCCCAGAGCUUCAAAAUUUGGAAGAAUGAGUGCUUCAUGCAGUGUGUACAUCUGAUAACUGCUGGGCUUCCUCAGAACUUCUUCGUGAAGAAGAUACGGAAAAUGUAAAAUUGUGCUCCCAACGCAGCCUUCCCAAUGCAGGACUCGGAGAGGGGAGCUGCUCCGCUCCUGCGCUGCCCAUUGCCACGUCGGGGAAUGGGAAUCAGCCUUCCCAGCGCCCUGGCUUACCUGUGCCUGGAAGGGACAUUUUGAACCGUCCCAUGUGAAAACAGACUGCUAUGAGGUGUCCGCAGUGGAUUUUCUAGUCACUUAAAUGGCAGGUGAGCACCUUCCCGAAAAGGGAUGGUCCAGAUCCAGCAAAGGUCUGCGACUUGAUUCAGCAGACACUGAAUGCACUAUGGGACUCAGUGCGUUCUCACUGCCUGUAUCCCUGCAGCCUCUUUUAACCUUAAAAUCAGUCCCUUUGCAGAAUAGCAUUCUGCAAAAUGUUUACAAAGUGUCUAGUGCCCUCAAUUCCCUUUGGUUUAAAACACAUACAGUUUGUUAGCUCUCGUAUCUUUUUUCUUUCCCACUUUCUGGGUAGUGCAAAGCACAUCAGGUGAAAACUCAACCUGAAGGUAAAAGAAAUUUUGCUUUUAUCCCAUCAAUUGGUGGUCCUUUAGAAAUAAAAGUGCAGCAAGUAACUACUCUGCCAUAAAUAACUCCCUUUCUUUUUUAAAGAUUGUAUUUACCAAAAAUAAGUAAGUAUCAGAAAUACUAUGCCAUAUAAUCGGCACUAAAAAUGUAUCUAAUUGUUUGCAUCAGAAGAAAGAACUUUGUAUUGUUGACUACAAAGAGGUUACAGGAGACUCUUGGAUUUCUUGUCUAUGUACAAGCUUUAGAAAUAACAUUUUGCUGAGCUAAGUGCCUUUUAUAUUUGUUGUUUACAAUAGUAGCUGCCUUGUGUUUUAACUAAGACCUUUUCAUCUAUUGGGUCAAGGAUAUCGGCUGACCAUGGAAACUAAAAUAAUUCUUGACAGGCCCUGCACUUAUUUUAUUUCUCUAGAUCACAGCCUUAGCCUUUGGCUCCUAGUCAAUAUUUUGAAGAAUUGCUAAGAGAUCAGCAUGCCCUUUAGUUUUUUGUUUUUGCUAAAGAAAAAUAAAUAAUCCCAUCUCUUCCCUAAACCAUAAGGAUAUAUGUUUUACUCUCUUUUUAUCCAUCCAUCUAUCUCCUCCAACAUACACUGUGUGCUGCUCAGUCUAACAAAAUGUAACCACUGUAUUAAAAACACAAUCCUCAGAAUUCUCACAGGCAUGAAAGUCUCGAAUGAUUUUUCCUGUAGACUAUAACAGUGAGGUAAAAGGGAAAACAAUAGCUUGGGUUACUCUCUAUUUUUAAUAUUGUGGUUUUACUGAGAAAUUUUAUGGUGCUGUCACAAUGAGACAGAGACAUAUAUGUCAUAAUAAUACUGUCAUAAUAGGUGCAUGUACCAAAUGUAACUUCUGAGAACGGCUGAGUAAUUUCCGCUACACAAAGUGAGGAUUCUCCUGUUGCAGCAACCUUGGCAUUACUUGAAUGUGUCUAAUUUUGAUGUGCAUCUUAGCUGGACCAAAGCAAAAGGGACAACAAAAAACAGUGAAAAUAAUCAGAGGUCAAUAAGAAUCACCUAAAAAGAACACUUGAAAUAAUUUUUUUUCCGUAAUUUGGCAUAAAGACUGAGUAGAGAGAGGAUAACAGUCUUCAAAUACUUAAGAGAGAGUAGCAAAGAUGAGGGAGAUAAUUUGUAUCAUUUAUGCACCCAUAUUAGAGCUACCUGCCAAAAAUGACAUUUAACCACAGAAUGUGACAGUCACAUUGAGAUUACUAAGCUGGGCUUAUUUCACUCAGUGCUUCAUUAAAACAGUACUGGUAUCAUAGACCUUCUCACUUCUGGAACUCAGGAGAUAGCGAGAAGAAAAGCUGUUUUUCCACAAUCAUAUAGACCACGACUGUUUAAUGUAGCUGAUUAACAUCGUGUUUAUGGAUCACAGCUUUCGCUGUUUGUUAGUAUAAGGCUACAACUCUAGAAGUUACUGCUAGAUAAACGGCUUAUGCUUUUAACCCACUUUUUUCUCACCAGGUGCAUGUCUCCAGCAGACUAUAAAUAUAAUGCACCUGAAACCUGAAUAGAAAUAUUUACCUCUUCUCUUGGAACGGCUCAGGAGCACCAUGCCACUGAGCCUAUACCUUUUCCCCAGUUUAUGGGAGUCCAAACUGCUGGAGGAAGCUCUCCCGCUGCUCGCAGCCCCACCCCUGCCACUUGGCAGGACCCGGUCAGUGUCCCAGUGUGCCCGCGAGCGCUGGCAGAGACCCUGCGCGGGGCAGGCGACCAAAACACGGCUGGCUAUCUCGGAUGUGGCUGCUUGUAUUCCCAGGAGUGAUCUUCAGAUGAGCAGGUUGUUUAUCAAUAAACAUCCAUCUGCAGAUUUUUACAAGGUCUUAAGACACUUAAGGUACCUCUUGGCACUGUAUCAGUUUUAAAGGCACAUAAUUAUCUAAUUACAUUACAGAAUAACACCAUUCCAAUUAUUCUCCCUUAGUCUGUGGCAGACUUAGUGCUCUGCAGUACUUAUGACAAUGUCUUAUGCAGUAGUUAAUGUCAUCCUUUGGUGGACAGCAGAUGCUUUACUUUCUUGUGAAAGGUGAAACACAGAGAAACCAAGGAAAAAUAGGAAAAUUUCUGAGAAGGAAGGCAAUAACUUUUGUGGAGGUGGAACUAUUCUGUUGAAUCUAGUUUUCUCAGGCAGAACUGAAGUAGAUAAAACACAUGUUGGCAUCUUAAAGCUUAGUUUUUCUUUCUUCCCUUUUCUUUAUCAUAAAAUGAAGAAAAGUAUUUCCUCUCCAGUCUUUGAUCUAUUCCUCAGACAGCAGAUCAGCAAAGCUAUGUCAAAAAAAGAAUAAUGUUUCCAAAGCAAUAGAAAUUCUUGAAGAACUACCUAUAUGUCUGCUUGAUAAAUUAUUUCUUAAUUUCUAUAUUCAUACAAAGCACAUGCAUUUUCAUGCACCAUUGAACAGAGAAAUACUGUGAAUUUCCAUAAAAAAGCUGCUAUUAGGUUUUUUCUUUUGAUGAAGAAGGAAUUUGCUAUGAUUUUUUCAAAUCAUCGUCAAAAACUCAGCUAUCCUCUCUGCACCCUAUUGAGUAUAAGCACCAUUUUUAAAAAAUGUUAUUAAUUGAAGAUAUUUACAAAUUUUACUUAAAAUAAAUUCAAUUAUCUGAUUUAGACUGUGUUUUCAAACUAACGUGACAGGAUCCUCAUAUUACGGCAGUGUAAACCUCAAGUAAAGCCAUUUUUAGAAAUGGAUUAAUACCAGUUUUUCAUGAAAAUGUGAGGUUUAGUGAGAUCCAGGUGAAGAGGAGACGCUUAGGAAGAUCCCAACAAAGCUAAGCAGGGUAACGGGCAGCUAACAUACAUUAACGAAUAGCCAGAGGACAACCAGGACGUAAGUUUAAAUCCCUGGCAGAGGGUGAUCAAUACCCCAUUGCUCUCAGGAAAGCGGGGAACGACAGCCAGUGUGGAGUGCAGAGCUCUCAGGGCUUCUGUAAGGAAGAAACUAAAUAUCCUGGUCUGAAGAGCCCCUAGGCUUUUGUGAAAGAACUCAAUAGGUCAGGAAAUGUGUAAAUUAGGUGAUAGCUAAAUGGGAUGGAGCAGACUUGCUCAUUAUGAAAUUUCAUAUUUAAUUGAAUUCCCAAGUUACGGGGAGAUGAUGGCGUACAAAUCUGUGACUAGAAUUAAAUAAGAUUCUGGCCAAUGCUAAAGAACAAUGAGUAACACUGCGAGCAUCCGGCUAGAAACAGGAGAAGGCUGAGCCAAAUCACAGCUGUCCUCUCCUGGCAAACGCCAAGUGGAGUUACCUGUGCAGUAGGAGAGAAGGCUUGUUUUAUGCCCUGGGAACUAAACUAAAUAUCAACCAGAAGGCACUAAGAAGCAAGAAAAGUGAGGCUGUUAAUGUCUAGUACAUUGAGAUGCUGACUCUUUUUCCAAAUCUCCUAACUUAUGAGCAGAGACUGGGAGGGUCUCAGCAGCGUUGCAAAGACUCGUAGCACAGUGAGGAGGUCCCCUACAGAACGUGGAUUAUAGAAGAAACACACUAUUUCCUUGUCCCAUGAGAUUUCAAUAGUUUGAAGAGAAAUUGCAUUCCAGACAGUGAUCUCACAUUUUCACACUUCCCCCCACCUUUUUUUUUUUGUCAGAUCAGUCAAAUUAAUUGGUUUGAACUUUUUUCAUAUAAGUUCAUUACAAUUUUGAAAAACUGCAUCAUGAGAAAAAGCACAGUCUUCAGUUAACAGUGUCAACAUGCGAUUGCGCUGACUGUUUUUUCUUCUUAAUUCGAUAUAUUGAAUCAAAUUCUGCUUAGUAAACAAUUUUUGUUUUGGCAAACCAGCAUUUUUUCCAGUGGGAAAAUAUUUGUCAAGGAACUCCCCACCAUCUCAGAUAUUUUCCCAGAAGUGGUAGCUUAAUAAAGUUGUAGCGUAUUUAAAACUAUGUUCUUGUAUCUUUUAGGUCUUCCUGGAGUAUCAAGGGAAAAUCAGUCACCAUUUGUACUCAGUAAACUAGGAGAUGAUACUGCAGGAAUCGAUGUAACCCAUGUAUGUAUGUGUGUAUAUAUUGGGAAAAGUAGCAAGUAAAACUAACGCCUCAUGGGAAUUUAUUUUAAGCAGCCAGUGGGUGAGAUUCUACUUGUGUGCAUAUGUAAAUGACAUAGCCAAAGGAAAGGGAAAAUUGCAAACUUAGAAAGUACAGAUUAAUAUACAAGAAAUAAGGCCAACAUAAUCAAGUUAUACUCAGCUAUUCUAGUUCCUCAGUAAUUUACAUAGAGGCCGUUUCUGAUUGGAUGCAGAUAAUUUCUGGCUCUCCACUCUUUCAAGAAAAAUCAAUUUGGAGACAUUACAGACUAAACCAAUAUUUUCCCGUUACAGCUGCAGCAUUUCUUGCACGUACAAAGCUCCAUCACUCAUAUGGGAAAGCUGGUGUUUCCCAAGGUGGCAGAGGGUGUCAUUGGCACUGUGAGCAUGCAGAAAGUAUCAGGAAUAAUAUUGUGUCAGUACUGAGCUAAUACUACUAAUGGCAGCAUUUUUAAAGACUUCUUGGACAACUCACAAUUACCAUUUCUUCAGGCUUCCUAAAUUAUCAAGCAUUAUCAAAAUAGACAAGGUCAUUGUUUUAUCUGCAAUAAAGUCAAAGGAACUGCCAGAGAUAUUGCAAUAGUAUUACACACAUAAUUACUACCAUGGUAAUUUAUUCAAUAAAGCUCUCAUUUAAUUACAGGAACCUAUUACACUGAAUGAUGUGUUGAGCAUGAUUUAUAUCUCAGAUGUAAAUAUUCAAAAAUAAGCCUCCUAUAAUGAAAGCAACUCCUAGCUGUUCUCCAUUUGCAUUAGGCUUCAGAUUGCUGAUACAACAGAAAGGAACCACCGGUGGGUCACAUAACUACUGAAUAUUCGAUGCGGCGGGUGAUUUAUAGACAUAAAAAAAGAUGGCUCAAACAGUGCAGUCUAAAAUAGCACUACAUACCUCUACUAAUUGUCCUGGGUUCACAACUGGCAUAAGUAUUUCAUAUCAGCAUAAGAGAAGUUAACACUCAGGGCUGUAAUCAUUUUGGCAACACUUAUUCUAGCCUGUCAGAAAUAUGAUUAAUAAGAGGCAAUAUCAAAUACCUGAUACCUGGCAUGGAGAUAUAGGAGGUCCUUGAACCCUCAAGGAAAUUCUGGUUUCAACCAGGAAAUAGGACAAAGCUGGCUGGCAUUUUGCAGGUGAGACUUCAGAAAGACCAAAGGCGCAAAGGACCGGUUGAAUAUUCUGGCCAAACUUCUCUUUUUGUCACCCAGCCAAAGCUAGGGGUCAACUCUUUGCUCCAGCUAGCAUUUAAUUAGAGAAACAGCAGCCAUUUUAUGUUGCUAAAGCUUCUUUACUCUUUAGGCCCAGGGCCUUCAGCCACCAGUUCCCGACAUAAGCCAAUGGUGAAUCUGGCCGAUUGCAUAUCACCUGUGUUUUGCUCUUCUUGUGUGUUACGUUUGCCAAGAAACACUCAGAAGUUUGAAAUGGUAGAGAUUUGUCUGUAAAUUAGUAAGUCUGCCCUCUUUUUUGCAUGCACUGAGAAACUGUGCAUCUGAAAUAAUAAAAAGUGAGUCUAUACUGAUUUACACUAACUUAGA